rnacentral:rRNA from 1 species
GACGUAGGGCGCGAGCGUUGUCCGGAUUUAUUGGGCGUAAAGAGCUCGUAGGCGGCUUGUCGCGUCGGAUGUGAAAUCCUGCGGCUCAACUGCAGGCUUGCAUUCGAUACGGGCAGGCUCGAGUUCGGUAGGGGAGACUGGAAUUCCUGGUGUAGCGGUGAAAUGCGCAGAUAUCAGGAGGAACACCGGUGGCGAAGGCGGGUCUCUGGGCCGAUACUGACGCUGAGGAGCGAAAGCGUGGGGAGCGAACAGG